UUAGAGUUUGAUCCUGGCUCAGGAUGAACGCUGGCGGCGUGCCUAACACAUGCAAGUCGAACGUGAAAGAUGGAACGGACACUUCGGUUGAAGUUCUGUCUGGAAAGUGGCGAACGGGUGAGUAACACGUAGAUAACCUGCCUUGAAGCGGGGGAUAACUAUUGGAAACGGUGGCUAAUACCGCAUGCAUCCACAGCGACGGGAGUUGUGGUGGAUAAAGUUGAGGCGCUUUGAGAGGGGUCUGCGUCCGAUUAGUUAGUUGGUGAGGUAAAAGCUCACCAAGGCGGAGAUCGGUAGCUGGUCUGAGAGGACGAUCAGCCACACGGGAACUGAGACACGGUCCCGACUCCUACGGGGGGCAGCAGUGAGGAAUAUUGCACAAUGGGGGAAACCCUGAUGCAGCAACGCCGCGUGAAGGAUGAAGGUCCUUGGAUUGUAAACUUCUUUUAUCGGGGAAGAGAGCGGACGGUACCCGGUGAAUAAGUCACGGCUAACUACGUGCCAGCAGCCGCGGUAAUACGUAGGUGGCGAGCGUUAUCCGGAAUUACUGGGCGUAAAGGGCGCGCAGGCGGCUGUUUAAGUCUGACGUGAAAGCUCCUGGCUUAACUGGGAGAGGUCGUUGGAAACUGAAUGGCUUGAGGCAAUGAGAGGGGUGCGGAAUUCCCGGUGUAGUGGUGGAAUGCGUAGAUAUCGGGAGGAACACCAGUGGCGAAGGCGGCUCUCUGGGCCAUUCCUGACGCUGAGAUGCGAAAGCUAGGGGAGAGAACGGGAUUAGAAACCCCGGUAUUCCUAGCCGUAAACGAUGUCAACUAGGUGUAGGAGGUAUUGACCCCUCCUGUGCUCCAGCAAACGCGUUAAGUUGACCGCCUGGGGACUACGGCCGCAAGGCUAAAACUCAAAGGAAUUGACGGGGACCCGCACAAGCAGCGGAGCGUGUGGUUUAAUUCGAGGCUACGCGAAGAACCUUACCAGGGUUUGACAUGGCGGUAGUAGGGAUCCGAAAGGUGACCGACCCUUCGGGGAGCCGUCACAGGUGCUGCAUGGCUGUCGUCAGCUCGUGCCGUGAGGUGUUAGGUUAAGUCCUGUAACGAGCGCAACCCACGUCGUUAGUUAUACGUGUCUAACGAGACUGCCGGUGAUAAGCCGGAGGAAGGUGUGGAUGACGUCAAGUCAGCAUGGCCUUUAUAUCCUGGGCUACACACACGCUACAAUGGCCGGUACAAUGGGCAGCGAAACCGCGAGGUGAAGCCAAUCCUCUAAAGCCGGUCUCAGUUCGGAUUGUAGGCUGCAACUCGCCUGCAUGAAGUCGGAGUUGCUAGUAAACGCGCGUCAGCAAUAGUGCGUUGAAUACGUUCCCGGGUCUUGUACACACCGCCCGUCACGUCAUGGAAGUUGGCAACGCCUGAAGUCAGUGGGCUAACCCUAACGGGAGGCAACUGCCCAAGGCGGGGUCGGUAACUGGGACGAAGUCGUAACAAGGUAACCAAUCACUAGU
rnacentral:rRNA from 1 species